UCCGAGGGAUUUGGAUCGAGGCUCCCAGCCAGUGUUGCAGCCACCGAGAGGUGCCUGCAUGCCGCUGCUCUCUCCGGGGACCAUCGCCUCUGUUGUGCCGUGUUCAUUUUGGCUUCCAUCCAUGACGCCCGAAAGCAACAGCAGCAGCCCACCCUCCACCCAUCCCCAUCGCCUGAGCUCAUGAGAAGGAAGUCCACGACGAGUUCCUUCACUACCUCCUGUUGCCCUAUAGUCCUCCCUGCCAGACAUGAGCUCAACGACCUCUUCUUCCUCUUCGUUGAGCCGUGCGAGCACCCCCAUCAUCGAUCGCUCUAGCCCUCCUCCAUCCAAGCCAACCGCACCAUGAGAUCACCUGCGAGCUGGAGUGAGUUGUGGCCACGCGGUACGGUGAGGGAUCGAGCUAGGUCCGCGCGGGAGCGGAACGCAGUAGCACAAGAGCAGGAGCGCGCUAGGACUAGGGAUCGAAGAACACCCCUAUAUUUGGGGGACGGGAGGUUGAUUUAGGGGACUAAGGAAAUAUAAGAAACUAUAUAGGAUAUCUGUUGGAGAAUGUUUUUUUUAUUAAGUUCCCUAUAUUUAACUUUAAGAUAUUAAAUUUCUUAUAUUUAACUUUAAGGUAUCAGAUAGGUAUAUGUUGGAGUUGAUAUCCUUCAGGAUUCCGGAUGCUCUCGUCAAUCGGACGCCGAUUGGACAGGCUGCCCCACAUGGGCAGCACAUCGUUUCUCGGUCUUGCGCCGCGGUGCAAUUCCAUGCUGUCGCCGAGUCUUGGUAGCCAGGCAAACUUCUUUAGAAGCUCCACCACUCUCUCAAACUAGCUAUGGUGGUCUAUUCCGAGAACAUAAAUACCAUGUAUCUCUCAAACAGGCUAUGGUGGUCUGGCUCUGGCUCAGUUCUCACCUGAGACGUACGCUUCUGACAUACGGAAAUGUACAGUAGUCCUUGCGAGGAGGUUGAUAUAUCCAUAAGCAUGUCAACCAUACUCCUUAAUUAUCUUUGUUUUUGACAGAUGCCUUAAUCAUCGUUGUGAUCACGGGACGUAGCUCCAUUGAAACACAGAUAAGACUAAGAGAGAGGUCACAUGCCAUCACCCAUCAGGUCAUCAUUCGUCUCUGCAUGAUUUGAUGCGUUGCCGGUCUCUCUUGCGAUUGCUCAAGAUAGUGGAGGCCAUCGUGUCCUUGCUAGUCCGGAGCAGUGCCUAGGGGGUAUGGCGUGUCAUUAUAUUU